UACGGGGGGUGCGAGCGUUGUCCGGAAUCACUGGGCGUAAAGGGCGCGUAGGUGGCUUUGUAAGUUUGCGGUGAAAGCCCGGGGCUCAACCCCGGGUCUGCCGUGGAUACUGCAAGGCUUGAGUACUGUAGAGGCAGGUAGAAUAUCGGGUGUAGCGGUGGAAUGCGUAGAGAUCCGAUAGAAGACCGGUGGCGAAGGCGGCCUGCUGGGCAGUAACUGACACUGAGGCGCGACAGCGUGGGGAGCAAACAGG
rnacentral:rRNA from 1 species